rnacentral:rRNA from 1 species
CGAAGGGUGCAAACGUUGCUCGGAAUUAUUGGGCGUAAAGCGCACGUAGGCGGCUUUGUAAGUUGGAUGUGAAAACCCUCGGCUCAACCAAGGAAGUGCAUCCAAAACUGCGAAGCUUGAGUACUUAAGAGGAUCGCGGAAUUCCCGGUGUAGAGGUGAAAUUCGUAGAUAUCGGGAGGAACACCAGUGGCGAAGGCGGCGAUCUGGGAAGAUACUGACGCUGAGGUGCGAAAGCGUGGGGAGCAAACGGGAUUAGAUACCCUGGUAGUCCACGCCGUAAACGAUGAGUGCUAGGUGCUGUGGGUAUUGACCCCCGCGGUGCCGCAGCCAACGCGUUAAGCACUCCGCCUGGGGAGUACGGCCGCAAGGCUA